rnacentral:snRNA from 1 species
AGCUGUGCACAGUGGCAAUAUCGUAGCCAAUGAGGUUUAUCUGAGGCACGAUUAUUGCUAAUUGAAAACUUUUCCCAAUACCCCACCAUGACGACUUGAAAUAUAGUCAGCACUGGCAAUGUUUAAGUCUCUACGGAGA